rnacentral:lncRNA from 1 species
UAAUAGUCUUUCAACCCUGGCACUGAACUGAAUAAAGAAUGCUUCCUAGAAGCCAGCGGAGCCAAAAGAGAGAAAACAUCUUAUCAUCAUUGUCAUCGUCGUCAUCACUAAAAGUCCCUCUUAACUAAUCUCUAAGUUUGCUCACAUUUCCAAAUGUCCCAUAUUAAUGCACCAUAUAUUCAUGCCCUUGGCAAACAUUUGUUGCUCGUAUGUGAUGACUACACUUAUGUUGCCCUCACCAUGGAAAAACUGGUAGAGGCUUACAAGCCAGUGGACCAUCUGAGCCCAAGAUGCACCACUACGCCAAGAAGGUAAGGAGAGACUUCCUGGAAGAGCCACAGUUGGGGCUGAGCAAUGAGGGCUGGGUGCAUGAGUCAGGCAGGGGUGCCAGGGAACUGGGGUGCAGCCAGAGAGAGGAACACACAGAAAGGACGAGAGCUGGGAAAGGAUCUAGAAAGGAAAGAUUUGGGGAACAAAAACAAGAACAGCAGAUGAUCAGCGUGACCUGAGGGACAAACCUGGGGGGCAUGGUAGGAGAAAAGCUUAAUCUGAAAGCAGUGGGGAACUAUUUAAGGAAUCGGAAUUAACUUGGUUCCCUAAGUUCUACAUAAAGUACGAGCUAGUAGUAAGAGCCAACAGUAAGAGUCAUCUCACUGCAAUUUAGAGGAAAAGCAAAACUAAAACCACAAUGCAGUUCCUCCUCUCCACCACCAGGUGGGCAAAAAUGGAAAGGAGAAAGCCAAGUGUUGGCAAGGAUGUGGAGCCACC